GAUGAACGCUGGCGGCGUGCCUAAUACAUGCAAGUCGAGCGAACAGACGAGGAGCUCGCUCCUCUGACGUUAGCGGCGGACGGGUGAGUAACACGUGGAUAACCUACCUAUAAGACUGGGAUAACUUCGGGAAACCGGAGCUAAUACCGGAUAAUAUAUUGAACCGCAUGGUUCAAUAGUGAAAGACGGUUUUGCUGUCACUUAUAGAUGGAUCCGCGCCGCAUUAGCUAGUUGGUAAGGUAACAGCUUACCAAGGCAACGAUGCGUAGCCGACCUGAGAGGGUGAUCGGCCACACUGGAACUGAGACACGGUCCAGACUCCUACGGGAGGCAGCAGUAGGGAAUCUUCCGCAAUGGGCGAAAGCCUGACGGAGCAACGCCGCGUGAGUGAUGAAGGUCUUCGGAUCGUAAAACUCUGUUAUUAGGGAAGAACAAAUGUGUAAGUAACUAUGCACGUCUUGACGGUACCUAAUCAGAAAGCCACGGCUAACUACGUG
rnacentral:rRNA from 1 species